rnacentral:snRNA from 2 species
GGGCUCACUUUGGCAGCACAUAUACUAAAGUUGGAACCAUACAGAGAAUAUUAGCAGGUUCCUAUGCAAGGAUGAUACACAAAUUGGAGAAGUGAUCCGUAUUUUU